UGGCUCAGGAUGAACGCUGGCGGCGUGCUUAACACAUGCAAGUCGAACGGUGAAGGAGAGCUUGCUCUCCGGAUCAGUGGCGAACGGGUGAGUAACACGUGAGCAAUCUGCCCCUGACUCUGGGAUAAGCGCUGGAAACGGCGUCUAAUACCGGAUACGAGCUGCGAAGGCAUCUUCAGCAGCUGGAAAGAACUUCGGUCAGGGAUGAGCUCGCGGCCUAUCAGCUUGUUGGUGAGGUAAUGGCUCACCAAGGCGUCGACGGGUAGCCGGCCUGAGAGGGUGACCGGCCACACUGGGACUGAGACACGGCCCAGACUCCUACGGGAGGCAGCAGUGGGGAAUAUUGCACAAUGGGCGCAAGCCUGAUGCAGCAACGCCGCGUGAGGGACGACGGCCUUCGGGUUGUAAACCUCUUUUAGCAGGGAAGAAGCGAAAGUGUAC
rnacentral:rRNA from 1 species